UGUGAAGGAUGCAGUCAAGAAGAUUUGCAGUGAACAAGCACCUGAGCAUGGCACAAAACCAGAGAAAGAGACAGCUUUGAAGCAGCAGGGAUGCGUGGAGUUAGGAGAGGAGCAGAAAGCCUUGUACAGCAUUUACCUAAAGAAUGGUCUUGGCCAGUUGUCUGAGGACACAACAGACCCGAGCGUCCCACUGGAUAUGUACCAUCUUAAAGGCUCACUGUGAAAUUUGUUGAGCUGGGGAAGCUCAGUGAGAUCAUCUGGCACUCCUUCCUAACAGCCUCUGCCUGAUGCUUGCUGGUGACCAAGCCUGGAAAUGCCAUCUGUGAGAGGCUUCUGCCUCACCUUGGAUGGAAAGUGCUGAGCUUGUCCCUCCGUGAGAAGGUGUUCCCUAAGGACCUACUCUGAAAUUUGUAAUUCCAUGGAAGCUAAAUUGGGUCAAAUGUUUGUGCUUCUUCCCAAUGCUUUAACUCACUGCCAUUUUCUUGCUUUUAGAGAAGCAGUUAGAAAAAAACCUACCCUUUCUUUUU